rnacentral:rRNA from 1 species
UGGGGAAUCUUGGACAAUGGGGGCAACCCUGAUCCAGCCAUGCCGCGUGAGUGAUGAAGGCCUUAGGGUCGUAAAGCUCUUUCGCCUGUGAAGAUAAUGACGGUAGCAGGUAAAGAAACCCCGGCUAACUCCGUGCCAGCAGCCGCGGUAAUACGGAGGGGGUUAGCGUUGUUCGGAAUUACUGGGCGUAAAGCGCACGUAGGCGGACCAGAAAGUUGGGGGUGAAAUCCCGGGGGCUCAACCCCGGAACUGCCUCCAAAACUAUUGGUCUAGAGUUCGAGAGAGGUGAGUGGAAUUCCAAGUGUAGAGGUGAAAUUCGUAGAUAUUUGGAGGAACACCAGUGGCGAAGGCGGCUCACUGGCUCGAUACUGACGCUGAGGUGCGAAAGUGUGGGGAGCAAAACAGGAUUAGAUACCCUGGUAGUCCACACCGUAAAACGAUGAAUGCCAGUCGUCGGGUAGCAUGCUAUUCGGUGACACACCUAACGGAUUAAGCAUUCCGCCUGGGGAGUAC